GAUGAACGCUGGCGGCGUGCCUAAUACAUGCAAGUCGAGCGAACAGAUAAGGAGCUUGCUCCUUUGACGUUAGCGGCGGACGGGUGAGUAACACGUGGGUAACCUACCUAUAAGACUGGGAUAACUUCGGGAAACCGGAGCUAAUACCGGAUAACAUUUGGAACCGCAUGGUUCUAAAGUGAAAGAUGGUUUUGCCAUCACUUAUAGAUGGACCCGCGCCGUAUUAGCUAGUUGGUAAGGUAACGGCUUACCAAGGCAACGAUACGUAGCCGACCUGAGAGGGUGAUCGGCCACACUGGAACUGAGACACGGUCCAGACUCCUACGGGAGGCAGCAGUAGGGAAUCUUCCGCAAUGGGCGAAAGCCUGACGGAGCAACGCCGCGUGAGUGAUGAAGGGUUUCGGCUCGUAAAACUCUGUUAUUAGGGAAGAACAAACGUGUAAGUAACUGUGCACGUCUUGACGGUACCUAAUCAGAAAGCCACGGCUAACUACGUG
rnacentral:rRNA from 1 species